CAACAGAGAGGUGGACUAGACCCCUCCACCCCCUGGGUGAUUUUCUCCUGACCAGCACGGCAGGCUCGUGGGUAGCAGCAGGGAAGAGCUUUGCUUCAGCGGCGUGAGAGCAAAUCCUGCAGCGCAGUUGCGGUCUGCUCCCUGGGCUUCAUUAAAGAGCAUCUGCAAAGGCCUUGAAGUCCUCACUGGACAUCUUACAACAUCAUCGUGAGCAGUCAUAGCAACACCAUCCCGGGCUGGCACAAAGACUCCGACUUGUGAUGAAGAUAUCAAACCCAAGGUGUACUGCAGCCAGCUCAAAGCAAACCCGAAAUUACAGUCUCUGCAGGGAGAAGUGACAGCCCUGCUACAGAGAUCAAGGAUUUAUGGAGAUGGGGCAGCCAGAUCUCUCUCUUGCAUCCUGAUAGCUGAUGUGACACAUCAGGUGUCAGGGUAGCUCCUAUUCCUAAGAGGUUAAACAAGUCGUACGAUCAGGAGGGGCUGACAUGUUGGUCCAGGCGAGGAGUGAAUCAUUAAGUUAUAUUCCCAUUGCUGAGACAGGCAGCAGCAGCAGCUCAGUGAGGUUUACGUAGCCUCAGGUGAGCUGUACGACAGGAAAAUAUACAUCUGACGUGAGGUUAUUUUCUUCACGAAUCGGAUAAGGAGGUUUUGGGAGUGAAUCAUACAGGGAGAAAUAUCAUCAACCUCAGCAUCUCAUACUUGCAAACUUAACCUUGAGGACACUGGUAGGGUCAAGGUUGGGGGGGAUGGAAUUUUGACAUAUUUACAAUUAAGAAGCCGCAGAUAGAGGCUGGAGUGCUGCCCCAGCUCUGCUCCAGCCCGGGCGGCGAGGAGGGGCGGGCAGAGCUGUGCGGGAGGGAGCGCUCGGCGUGCGGGUACCGCAGCACAUAUGGCGAGCCCGGCCACACGCUGCUCCAGAGCUGUGCAAUCCGGAACCACAAGGGCACACGCCACGCAGAAAAUACCGGCUCUGGUCCCUGGCUAGCGCUGGGACUUUCUGCUCAGAGGCAUAGCAUUGCCUGAACUAAUGGCUUUUCACAGUGGAAAGGGUUUGUUUACAGAGUGUUCUCGAAAGAGACAAAAAUGACACCGGUUAUACAAGAGGAUGCCGACUGCAGCAGCUACUCACGGCAAAAGGCUUGUGGUUUUUAGGUGAUUUUAGGAGCUGGGAGGAUGGGAGAUGCGGCAGGCAAGGAGCCUGAGGAUGCUGUACCACAAAAUUGUGAUGUCUUCUGUCUCCUUGAUGAUCCUCAGGGAAUGUCACUUCACUUUGCUGAAUAAGGACCCUCUCCGCUCUCCUCAUGUUGGGCCACUGAACCUGUAACCUUCUUAUUCACUGGGAGCUUCCCUGAUUCCCAUCAAGAAUCCUCUUGCCCCCAUCUUAUGACAUAUUAAAAGUUAGUCUUCAAGGGAAACAGACGACAGAAUUUUAAUUUAAUUUUUUAAAAAACAAACAACCACCUAAAAUAUCAAAAGCAAUACUUCUACUGAUAACCUCCAUUCCUCAUGUUUGAGGAGCUGCUCCCAGCCUGCACAGUUUACCUGGGUAGAGUAAGUUGUCUCUGAUUUCAGUGCCAGGGCAUCUAGAGGAAGUUUCAUUAUUCUAAUUUAGCAUGAAAAUACAUUUAAAUAGCAUUUCAGUUUUGCCCUUUCACAGCAUUAAGUAACUGCAAGAAUCUUUUCAAGAGCAAUUGCCCACAGCUUUUUGCGCAAACAUUCUCCUUACAAAAGUCUCAUGAUGAUUUGGGAGAAGCAAUAAGGGAAAAAUAUGCUUCA